rnacentral:rRNA from 1 species
CUAAACCCUUCCCAGAGUAUCAAUUGGAGGGCAAGUCUGGUGCCAGCAGCCGCGGUAAUUCCAGCUCCAAUAGCGUAUAUUAAAGUUGUUGCAGUUAAGAAGCUCGUAGUUGAAUUUCUGCCUUGUCAUUAAUCUCGCUUCCGAGCGUUUUUUUAUUGACUUGGCAUCUUCUGGAUUUGGUGCCUUCGGGUACUAUUUUCCAGGAUUUACUUUGAGAAAACUAGAGUGUUUCAAACAGGCAUUUGCCUUGAAUACUACAGCAUGGAAUAAUGAAGUAGGACUUUGGUUCU